UACAGAGGGUGCAAGCGUUAAUCGGAAUUACUGGGCGUAAAGCGCGCGUAGGUGGUUGUGUAAGUUGGAUGUGAAAGCCCCGGGCUUAACCUGGGAACUGCAUUCAAAACUGCACGGCUAGAGUACGGGAGAGGGGGGUAGAAUUCCAGGUGUAGCGGUGAAAUGCGUAGAGAUCUGGAGGAAUACCGAUGGCGAAGGCAGCCCCCUGGCCUGAUACUGACACUGAGGUGCGAAAGCAUGGGGAGCAAACAGGAUUAGAAACCCUAGUAGU
rnacentral:rRNA from 1 species